rnacentral:rRNA from 1 species
CUAGUUGGUGAGGUAAUGGCUCACCAAGGCUUCGACGGGUAGCCGGCCUGAGAGGGCGACCGGCCACACUGGGACUGAGAUACGGCCCAGACUCCUACGGGAGGCAGCAGUGGGGAAUAUUGCACAAUGGGCGAAAGCCUGAUGCAGCAACGCCGCGUGCGGGAUGACGGCCUUCGGGUUGUAAACCGCUUUCAGUAGGGACGAAGCUAACGUGACGGUACCUACAGAAGAAGCACCGGCCAACUACGUGCCAGCAGCCGCGGUGAUACGUAGGGUGCGAGCGCUGUCCGGAAUUAUUGGGCGUAAAGGGAUUGUAGGCGGUUCGUCACGUCGAUGGUGAAAACUCAGGGCUCAACCCUGAGCCUGCUUUCGAUACGGGCGGACUAGAGGUAUGCAGGGGAGAACGGAAUUCCUGGUGGAGCGGUGGAAUGCGCAGAUAUCAGGAGGAACACCGGUGGCGAAGGCGGUUCUCUGGGCAUUACCUGACGCUGAGAAUCGAAAGCGUGGGGAGCAAACAGGCUUAGAUACCCUGGUAGUCCACGCCGUAAACGGUGGGCACUAGGUGUGGGGGACAUUCCACGUUCUCCGUGCCGAAGCUAACGCAUUAAGUGCCCCGCCUGGGGAGUACGGCCGCAAGGCUAAAACUCAAAGGAAUUGACG